GCUCUUAUCGGAUCACCUAAGUUAAGCAACCUUGAGCCGGAUCAGUAUUUGGAUGGCUGACCGCUUGGGAAAACCAGGUACUGUAAUC